ensembl:lncRNA
UCCAGCUCUGCUUGGGAAGCAGAAGCCCUGCGUGCCCUGGGAAGCAUCCUGAGCUGCAGUAGUCUGAGAUCCAUGGUACUGACAACUAGUCCACAGCCAAGAAUUUGUCUGCAGCCAGUACUCAUAAUGCCUUCCCAGCCAGGCCCUACAAGCAAUCUGGAGUUUUGCUGUGCAGCAAGAGGGAUCGACCUUCCCCACAGCCCUACAAAAGUUGAUGUGUCCUACAUCGCUCUCCAUCUCUCCUAUCUUCUACAAAGUGGGGCUCCUAAGGCUGAACACAGCAACUGCAGGUGAAGCCUCACAAGGUCAGCGUAUCCACCACUGUACCUUACAGAGAAUCAAAUG